rnacentral:rRNA from 1 species
UCGGGGAACGAUAACGGCGUCGAGCGGCGGACGGGUGAGUAAUGCCUAGGAAAUUGCCCUGAUGUGGGGGAUAACCAUUGGAAACGAUGGCUAAUACCGCAUGAUGCCUACGGGCCAAAGAGGGGGACCUUCGGGCCUCUCGCGUCAGGAUAUGCCUAGGUGGGAUUAGCUAGUUGGUGAGGUAAGGGCUCACCAAGGCGACGAUCCCUAGCUGGUCUGAGAGGAUGAUCAGCCACACUGGAACUGAGACACGGUCCAGACUCCUACGGGAGGCAGCAGUGGGGAAUAUUGCACAAUGGGCGCAAGCCUGAUGCAGCCAUGCCGCGUGUGUGAAGAAGGCCUUCGGGUUGUAAAGCACUUUCAGUCGUGAGGAAGGUGGUGUAGUUAAUAGCUGCUUUAUUUGACGUUAGCGACAGAAGAAGCACCGGCUAACUCCGUGCCAGCAGCCGCGGUAAUACGGAGGGUGCGAGCGUUAAUCGGAAUUACUGGGCGUAAAGCGCAUGCAGGUGGUUUGUUAAGUCAGAUGUGAAAGCCCGGGGCUCAACCUCGGAAUAGCAUUUGAAACUGGCAGACUAGAGUACUGUAGAGGGGGGUAGAAUUUCAGGUGUAGCGGUGAAAUGCGUAGAGAUCUGAAGGAAUACUGGUGGCGAAGGCGGCCCCCUGGACAGAUACUGACACUCAGAUGCGAAAGCGUGGGGAGCAAACAGGAUUAGAUACCCUGGUAGUCCACGCCGUAAACGAUGUCUACUUGGAGGUUGUGGCCUUGAGCCGUGGCUUUCGGAGCUAACGCGUUAAGUAGACCGCCUGGGGAGUACGGUCGCAAGAUUAAAACUCAAAUGAAUUGACGGGGGCCCGCACAAGCGGUGGAGCAUGUGGUUUAAUUCGAUGCAACGCGAAGAACCUUACCUACUCUUGACAUCCAGAGAACUUUCCAGAGAUGGAUUGGUGCCUUCGGGAACUCUGAGACAGGUGCUGCAUGGCUGUCGUCAGCUCGUGUUGUGAAAUGUUGGGUUAAGUCCCGCAACGAGCGCAACCCUUAUCCUUGUUUGCCAGCGAGUAAUGUCGGGAACUCCAGGGAGACUGCCGGUGAUAAACCGGAGGAAGGUGGGGACGACGUCAAGUCAUCAUGGCCCUUACGAGUAGGGCUACACACGUGCUACAAUGGCGCAUACAGAGGGCGGCCAACUUGCGAAAGUGAGCGAAUCCCAAAAAGUGCGUCGUAGUCCGGAUUGGAGUCUGCAACUCGACUCCAUGAAGUCGGAAUCGCUAGUAAUCGUGGAUCAGAAUGCCACGGUGAAUACGUUCCCGGGCCUUGUACACACCGCCCGUCACACCAUGGGAGUGGGCUGCAAAAGAAGUAGGUAGUUUAACCUUC